rnacentral:lncRNA from 1 species
UCACAUCACACACCUCCCAUCUCCAGCUCCUUACAUAUCUCCCUACUACCUCCCAAACAAAUCCCAAGCUCCUUGGCUUGAAUGUCAAAGCUCCUGGCCUCCUUUGCAACCUCAUGGCCCUUGCUCCCCCAUUCCCAGAACAAACUGCAAAUUCCUGUGUCUCUCUGUCCUUCCUGGAUAGAUGCAUUUCCUAUCUGCCCUUCACUACAUUAUCUCUCUAAAUCAAAUCCCAUCCUUCAAGGCUGUACUUGAUGUCCAUGCCCCCAGUCAUGACAUCACCUCCAGGAAGCCUUCCCUGACUUCAGACCUAGGGCUUUAUCAGUCUGGCUAAGAAGCACGCUGGGCAGAAACUUCUCUCCUCUGUAACCAACCCCACAAGUCUUCCUAAAAACUGAGCCUGUCCAUCUGUCACAUGGGACCCCGAUGCCUGCCAUUGGAUGGAGGAGUGUGAAAUGGUGUGUUGUGGUGUGUGUUUGCACGUGUAUACCUGUUCAAGGUGGGAGGAGAAAGGGAAGAGGGAAAUACACGAGGAGGGUAGGAAUCUGAAAGUGUCUCCAAAGGCUAAUUAUUCUGGUGUUAAGAACAUGAGCUUUGGAGGUAGGCAGCCUGUGGUUUGAGUCCUGGUUCUACUGCUAUAAGCCUCUCUGAACUCAGUGUCCUCUUUUGUAAAAUAAGCUGGUUAAGAGCACCUGAUGAGAAUGUAACUAAACCUGCGUGCAACUAACUUUGCGCAGGGCUUGGUGGGAAACAACAAUACAAAUACAAACUAACCCUUGUCCAGUGAGUAUUACAUGCCAAGAGGCACCGUUCCAAGUGCUUUACAUAUAAUUAACUAAUUUCAGCCUCACAAAAUCCACCCUAUGGGCUGGGCACUGUUGUUAUCUCCACUUUACAAAGGAGGAAAUUGAGACACAGAGGUUUUGUGACCUGCCCAAGGACAUAUAGUGAGUAAGUGGCAGAGCAGGGAUUCAACCUGGAUUCCAUGCUUUUAUUCGUCGGGCUAUCCCGCCUCCUAGAUAUUGCUCCUGGGUGGUAAAGGCCCAUCACGUGCUAAACAACACCCCUACCACCACCUCUACUUCACCCAAAUCUAACACACCUUUCCCCCACAUUUUAGUGUCUCUGAAAUCAAGAUGUGUUUUAUAAUUGAAGGCAAUUAUGUGAAAAUCUUCCACGGAUACCUCUUGGUAAGAUUUUUUAAAAGUGCAUUGAUGCAAUGUGUUUUAUAGUAAAUGAAACAAGAUACCACUAAUGAUGAAUAUUAAUGAGAAUAACUUCAGCCCUAACCCAUAUCCACUCAUCCAUAUUUAUACACGGUGGAAUUAAGAUCCAAAAGGGAAAAACCUUUUCAAAGUCAAGAGCUCAAAUUAUAUAAGCGUAACCAAAAAGCCAGGUACUGAGAGGAGACGAGGGUCUGUGUGUGUGUCAUCUGCAUCUAGCGUGUAUGUGUCUUGUAUGUGUGUGCAUGUGUGCUGCGUAUAUGUGGUGUGCAUGGGUCAUGUGUGCAUAGUGUGUGAGUGGUGUGUGUGUAGGUGUAGUGUCUUGUGGGGGUGUAGCAUGUAUGUGUAUAUAUAAUGUGUUCUGUGUGUGAUGUGUGUAUGUGUGGUGUGCACCUGUCACAUGCAUAUGUAACGUGUUUUAUGUAUGAGUGUGUGUCACAUGUGAGAAUGUGUGUGUGUAUAGUAUGUGUCUUGUAUAUGUUAGGUGUGUGUGUCAAGUGUGUGUGUGGUGUGUGUGUGUAUACACCCUAGUUGUGCAGGACAGCGUGCCCCCUCCCCUGCCUGCCCCAGUCUUCCUGGUUCUUCCCUAGCAACAGUUAUUUUCUCACCCUCUCCUGCAGCCUCGCACAGACCUCAUGACAUUCCUGCACAAUCACACAUUUGGCAGCACCCCUGGAGGCGAA